rnacentral:rRNA from 1 species
CACGUAGGGGGCAAGCGUUGUCCGGAUUUAUUGGGCGUAAAGAGCUCGUAGGUGGUUCGGUAAGUCGGGUGUCAAACCCCCAGGCUCAACCUGGGGACGCCACUCGAUACUGCUGUGACUAGAGUCCGGUAGGGGAGCGUGGAAUUCCUGGUGUAGCGGUGAAAUGCGCAGAUAUCAGGAGGAACACCAGCGGCGAAGGCGGCGCUCUGGGCCGGUACUGACACUGAGGAGCGAAAGCGUGGGUAGCAAACAGG